rnacentral:rRNA from 1 species
GACGAACGCUGGCGGCGUGCUUAACACAUGCAAGUCGAACGAUGAGCCCGGAGCUUGCUCCGGUGGAUUAGUGGCGGACGGGUGAGUAACACGUGAGUAACCUGCCCUUGACUCUGGGAUAACUGCGGGAAACUGUAGCUAAUACCGGAUACGACCCUCGGCGGCAUCGCCAGGGGGUGGAAAGAAUUUCGGUCAAGGAUGGACUCGCGGCCUAUCAGCUAGUUGGUGAGGUAACGGCUCACCAAGGCGACGACGGGUAGCCGGCCUGAGAGGGUGACCGGCCACACUGGGACUGAGACACGGCCCAGACUCCUACGGGAGGCAGCAGUGGGGAAUAUUGCACAAUGGGCGCAAGCCUGAUGCAGCAACGCCGCGUGAGGGAUGACGGCCUUCGGGUUAUAAACCUCUUUUAGUAGGGAAGAAGCGAAAGUGACGGUACCUGCAGAAAAAGCACCGGCUAACUACGUGCCAGCCGCCGCCGUAA